UCCAUCCUCAGCACGAGGCAAGAAACACAGGAAGAGCAGGAAGGUAAGGAACCCUCAUCCCAGACCCAGCAUACCUGUAACUCGAUCAUCUUUUCUAUUAUUCUUUCCACUUUUCCGAGUCACUGGAGAGACUCACAAAAUGGGAAAGAAUAGAAUGGGUAUUCUCAGGAGAGAGAAGACCACCAUCCAUCCAAGACAAGCCAGACCAGGCAAGGGUUAGAGGGACAUGAGGAUUUCUCCCUGAAGAUCUCCAGCCGGAGUCCGGUUGUGGUGGUGGUGGUGGGGGGGGGGGUCUAGGGCAGCAUCCCAAACACAGUGACAGGUGGCCAAGGACCGGAGGUUAAGAGCCGCCUCUCUAGCGGAAGUCAGGCCCCUGAGCACUGGGUCAUCUGCUGCUGGGGUGGGGGCCCCAGCCUCCCUGUUUUCUCCUAUCUCUGUACCAAGUGGAGCCACAAAGAAGGAGCAACACAAGCAAGAAAAAUCAGACCGUGAAAGGUUUCUGAGAAUUUCUGAACCAUCUGGAAGAGGUUCAGGACCUGUUCUCCCUUCUGGAAAGCCUGAUCCAUCCUCAGCACGAGGCAAGAAACACAGGAAGAGCAGGAAGGUAAGGAACCCUCAUCCCAGACCCAGCAUACCUGUAACUCGAUCAUCUUUUCUAUUAUUCUUUCCACUUUUCCGAGUCACUGGAGAGACUCACAAAAUGGGAAAGAAUAGAAUGGGUAUUCUCAGGAGAGAGAAGACCACCAUCCAUCCAAGACAAGCCAGACCAGGCAAGGGUUAGAGGGACAUGAGGAUUUCUCCCUGAAGAUCUCCAGCCGGAGUCCGGUUGUGGUGGUGGUGGG